GAAGGGAAAGCUCAGUGGUAGAGCAUUCGCUUGCAGAUCGAGUGGUCCCCGGAUCAAACUCGGGAGUUUUCUUCU